UUAUUUUCAAGGGAGGAAGUAUUUAUUUUCAGAUAAACUCCACGUUACGGCGGCGGCUGAUGGUGAAGGAGCCUUCUUCCUCACUCCCGCCGGCGACGGCGUCUAUCACACCUGAAACAAUUGUUUGCGGCUUACUCGGUCGUCUCUCUCUCUCUCUCUCUAAAGUUUGAUCUCAGUCUACCUAUUCGAAAACGAUGAAAAACCGCAGAUUCUUCACAUUCCUCGACAAAACCAAAACCCACCUCAGAAACCCGAUUGAGCCCCCAAUUCUCCAUAACCGCAUCAAAAAUCCCAUCUUAUUACCUCACAGAACGAUGCCUCCUGCAAAAGGUCAAGAUUCGGAUUUUAUAAACGUAGCUCAUAGUCAUCUGAUUCACUCCGAAUGGGAUAAACUGAACAAAUUAUCUUCCGGUUUAACCCCAUUUCGAAUUAAGCACAUACUGCUCAAAACCCAAAAAGACUAUGUCAUUUCUCUGGAAUUCUUCAACUGGGUUGAGCUCAAGAGUUCCCAGCUCAACACCCUCGAUGUGAUUUCAAUCGUUCUCCACAUUCUGACCAAGCACCGCAAGUUCAAAUCCGCUGAGUCGAUUAUGAGGAGAGCUCUUGAAACGGGUUUGUCGGAUUUGAAUUUUCCGAAAUCUUUUUUUGAGGCUUUGGUUUACUCUUAUAAGAUGUGUGAAUCUUCAUCACGUGUAUUUGAUGCUUUGUUCAAGACUCAUGCGCAUAUGAAGAAGUUUAGGAAUGCAUCUGAUUGUUUCAAUUGGAUGAGGGAGUAUGGAUUCUAUCCCACUGUUGAGUCUUGUAAUGCAUAUUUGAGUGCAUUGUGCAGUUUGAGUCGUUUUGAUAUUGUCUCGUCGUUUUAUAGGGAAAUGCAGAGGUGCCAUAUUUCUCCGAAUGCUUAUACUGUUAAUAUGGUGAUUGGGGCUUACUGUAAAGCCGAUAGAUUAGAUUUGGGAAUCGAGUUGUUCAAGGAGAUGGUAGGGAUGGGGUUAGCUCGUAGUGUUGUUUCGUAUAAUACCUUGAUCAAUGGAUACUGCAGUAAGGGUCUCCUAAGCAGUGCCGUGAAGGUUAAGCACGCGAUGGAGAAGGAUGGUGUUCGGCCAAAUGAUGCUACGUAUAACACGCUCAUGAAUGCACUGUGCAAGGAGGGGAAAUUGCACGAGGCGAACAAGUUGUUGAGUGAAAUGAGAAGCAUGGAUGUGGCUCCCACUACUGUAACGUAUAACACUUUGAUCAAUGGAUACAGUGAAGCUGGAAAUGGUGAGAUGGGAAUGCGGUUGUUUGAGGAAAUGUCGGUGGCUGGUGUUGAUGCUGACAUCUUGACUUACAACGCUGUGAUUUUGGGGUUGUGUAAGCAGGGGAAGACGAAGAAGGCUGCGUAUAUGGUGAAGGAGCUCGAUAGGAAAAAGUUGGUGCCUAAUUCGUCAACCUUUGCAGCCCUCGUUACCGGGCAGUGUGUGAGGAACAAUCCUGAUCGUGCUUUCGAGAUCUACAAAAGCAUGAUCAGGAGCGGUUGUCAGCCCAAUCGAGCAACUUUUCAAGUGCUAAUGUCUGCUUUCAUAAAGAGUGAGGAUUAUGAAGGAGCGGUUCAAGUUUUGAAAGAGAUGAUGGAAAGAGCCAUAGCUCCUGAUUCGGAUGUGUUGUCUUGUGUUUUGAAUGGACUCAGCCAAUGUGGUAAAGAGGGAGUUGCCAUGGAGUUGGUCAAGGAGAUGGAAUCUCGACGCCUUAUGCCUGGAGGUGUCGAGGAAUCACUCGUGAUGUCUGGACCUCUUAACAAAGCUGAAUUGCUAAUUCUUCGUUGCACUUGUGGAACGCAAAGAGCAUUGAAUAUACGAGGUAUGUUAAAGGUUCCCAUCGAUCCUUCCAAGAUGUACUACGCCAAAAUGAUACCGUUUAGACUUAUAUGUAAAUUAGUUUUGUCAACUUGUUUAACAUCUCUACAUAUUCUCUUUAGAUGAAUGGUGAAUCUUCUAGUACCCCUGAUUUUAUGAGCACCAAAACAUGUAACAUGAUGUCUUUGCUUGUUAUCGAGGUGAAAACCGAUGGAAUUUAUUGUUGGCUCUUUUCUGAUAUCGCUUCUUUAACAUUGGAAGUUCUGCAAGCUUAUGAAUGAUGAUCACUUUUUUUAUUCUUUGAAUGAAUCAGGUGAUCUAUGAGAUCAAUUUUCAGUGAAGUGAUUAAGAAUGACUUCUGUUAAAAUCUUCUGUUUCGAUCUUAUUUCCAUAUCUAGGCUUCCAGAUCUUGGAAGGGAGACGAUAGAUGUUACUCGUGAUUGUUGUUCGUACAAGGUGAGCUGGUUUGGUGGAACGAGUGAAUCGGCAUUAUUAUACGACCAUGCAUUCUUGAAGAGCCGUGCCAUGUGAAAUUUUUUGAGAGAGCUCUCUUUUUCAAAGACAGCACCAAUGAAGAAAAGGUUUCAGGGUAAUGUUCGGAGCAAGAAACGACAUUUUCAGACUGGCCGUGGCUUUCAUAUUUCUGCGUUACCGCGAUUUUGAGGCUUCUUGAUGGAAGCAGAAGCUAGUAAGAUAGUAGCAUUCAUGAAUCUUGGCUUGGAACUUGGAAGUUGGAGCUCUAGCAAAGAGCUCGACUUAUUUCAGAUGGAUGAUCAAAUGAGAAUUGAUAUUUCACUUUGUUAACUUACUAUUUUUCAUAAUUUUGUUGCUAAAUGAAGUUGUGGUAAUUGAUUCUUACA